rnacentral:rRNA from 1 species
UACGUAGGGGGCAAGCGUUGUCCGGAUUUAUUGGGCGUAAAGAGCUCGUAGGUGGUUCGGUAAGUCGGAUGUGAAAUCUCCAGGCUCAACCUGGAGGGGUCAUUCGAUACUGCCGUGACUAGAGUUCGGUAGGGGAGUGUGGAAUUCCUGGUGGAGCGGUGAGAUGCGCAGAUAUCAGGAGGAACACCCGUGGCGAAGGCGGUUCUCUGGGACGGUACUGACGCUGAGACGCGAAAGCGUGGGGAGCGAACAGG